rnacentral:ncRNA from 2 species
GCAACGGAUAUCUCGGCUCUCGCA